UACGGGGGGAGCAAGCGUUGUUCGGAUUUACUGGGCGUAAAGGGCGCGUAGGCGGCGUAACAAGUCACUUGUGAAAUCUUCGGGCUUAACUCGGAGCGGUCAAGUGAUACUGUUGUGCUAGAGUGCGGAAGGGGCUACUGGAAUUCUCGGUGUAGCGGUGAAAUGCGUAGAUAUCGAGAGGAACACCUGCGGCGAAGGCGGGUUGCUGGGCUGACACUGACGCUGAGGCGCGAAAGCCAGGGGAGCGAACGGG
rnacentral:rRNA from 1 species